UACGUAGGUGGCAAGCGUUGUCCGGAUUUACUGGGCGUAAAGGGCUCGUAGGCGGCCAACUAAGUCAGACGUGAAAUCCCUCGGCUUAACCGGGGAACUGCAUCUGAUACUGGAUGGCUUGAGUUCGGGAGAGGGAUGCGGAAUUCCAGGUGUAGCGGUGAAAUGCGUAGAUAUCUGGAGGAACACCGGUGGCGAAGGCGGCAUCCUGGACCGACACUGACGCUGAGGAGCGAAAGCCAGGGGAGCAAACGGG
rnacentral:rRNA from 1 species